AUGGAAGAGGCAAAUCGCCGAGCGACUCGCGCGCCGCCCAGAAGGAGGAUUGGAGCAUUGGAUUCUGCAAUGGACUCCGUCCUUGAGAUCCAGAAUCAAGCUAAACAGCAACUCCAGCGUGUAGCAAUGGCAGCCGCACCCAUUGAAGUUCUCCCACCUUGCAAGAGGCAAAAGAAGAACCCCAGUUGUCUGGGAACCUCGCCGGUCCUUCCGGCCACGUCAACUGCAGACUGGUCCUCACUCCAGCUCGACAUAGUCCGCCGCAUUGCCGACUCCUUCCUCGCCACCAAUGACAUUGACUGCUACAUGGACUUGCGCGCUGUCUGCCACAGCUGGCGUUACGCUACCGACGACCCCAAGGAGAAUAUUUUGGACUACCAGUUCCUUCCGCGCCGAUGGAUCAUCCUCGACGAGGUCUUCCAGAGUGGGACGCGCUGCCUCUUGGUCAACACCGCCACCGGCCGAAUCCUCCACAAGGAGCUCCCUCUGCUCUCCGACUACUAUAUCGUCACCACCACUCUCGACGGCUUCUUCGUCCUUGCCGAUAGGAGGCCCCCUCAUGCUGCUCGUGUCUUCAACCCUCUCACUGGUGGCAUCAUCCCUUUCACGGUGCCCGUGCCGCCUGAGGUGAAGGUCACCUGUUCGCUCUGCUUUGAGUUUGCUUCGCCCAUGCUCACCUUGCUCUCCAAGUCAUGUUGCAAGAUAUACAUAUCCAGUCCUCACAGUAUCCGCACCGAAAACUUUGAGAUUUCACUCUAUGGUCUCUUUCGGAGGGCUGUCAAAGGUGAUUUGGCCGGCCUUUGGUGGCUACCAGCCGGAAGCUCGGAAUCAGCCGAAACAGCUGCUGUGAAUGCGAUUGGCAAGAUCUCCAAUGUUAUGAAGUCGCUCCAUGUUGACCCGUUGAAGUUCUUUUCUAGUGAUCCUCCUGAUAUGGGGCUUGCAGACGACACCAAGUGUUUCCUAAUGGAUUUUGGUGGACAACUGCUGGCCACCAUCAAGGGACAACUCGUCCAGAUUUUCAGGUACGAAGCGAAGAAUGGCGUGCUUUUGCAUUUGAAGAGCAUCGGCAACCAUGCCAUCUUCCUUGGUCAUCAUAAGUGCCUAGCUGUGGAUACUGAUAUGUUCCCAUUGAUUGAGGCAAACUGUGUUUACUACACUGAACAACUGGGUUUGUCUGCUCGUAUCCGGAAAUGCAACAUCAAGGACGAGAAAGUAGAGAGCAUCUCGGAAGCCGUUGAUUUUGUGAAGCAGGAGAAGCAGUUUGUCCUCGUUGGCGACCGUCCUUUUACGAUCAUCCAGCUUCUGGCCAGCUACACCAUCAACAUACGGGAUUCUGAACUGGCCUUACAUCAGAUCACAUGA
rnacentral:rRNA from 1 species